GAAUGAAUGUUGUUUACUUCCUCUUCUAUCAGACUUUUGAUGAUGAGGUAUCACUCCACCAGAAAAGUAGAGACCCGUGCAUCUGUUUCAUGUUUCCAACAAAGACUUUUGAUGAGGUAUCACUCCGCCAGAAAAGUAGAGACCUGUGUAUGUGUUUCAUGUUUCCAACAAAGACAGACCUUCGAAGUAGGAUCUACGCAUGCCUGCAUUUCACCAAUCAAAUGCAGUCACUGGUGACGUUGGACCAAUCAAACAGAGCCAGGUGGUCACAUGACCGUCACACGUGGAACCCGACUUAAAAAAGUUGAAAAACUUAUCGGGGUGUUACCAUUUAGUGGUCAACUGUA